rnacentral:rRNA from 1 species
CCUACGGGUGGCAGCAGUGAGGAAUAUUGGUCAAUGGGCGCGAGCCUGAACCAGUCAAGUAGCGUGAAGGAUGACUGCCCUACGGGUUGUAAACUUCUUUUAUAAAGGAAUCAAGUGAGGCACGUGUGCCUUUUUGUAUGUACUUUAUGAAUAAGCAUCGGCUAACUCCGUGCCAGCAGCCGCGGUAAUACGGAGGAUCCGAGCGUUAUCCGGAUUUAUUGGGUUUAAAGGUAGCGUAGAUGGGUUGUUAAGUCAGUUGGGAAAGUUUGCGGCUCAACCGUCAAAUUGCAAUUGAUACUGGCAGUCUUGAGUACAGUUGAGGUAGGCGGAAUUCGUGGUGUAGCGGUGAAAUGCUUAGAUAUCACGAAGAACUCCGAUUGCGAAGGCAGCUUACUAACGUGCCACUGACAUUGAUGCUCGAAAGUGUGGGUAUCAAACAGGAUUAGAUACCCGAGUAGUC